CUGCUUACUGCAACUCGCUCCGGCCGCUGGGCGUAGCUGCGACUCGGCGGAGUCCCGGCGGCGCGUCCUUGUUCUAACCCGGCGCGCCAUGACCGUCGCGCGGCCGAGCGUGCCCGCGGCGCUGCCCCUCCUCGGGGAGCUGCCCCGGCUGCUGCUGCUGGUGCUGUUGUGCCUGCCGGCCGUGUGGGGUGACUGUGGCCUUCCCCCAGAUGUACCUAAUGCCCAGCCAGCUUUGGAAGGCCGUACAAGUUUUCCCGAGGAUACUGUAAUAACGUACAAAUGUGAAGAAAGCUUUGUGAAAAUUCCUGGCGAGAAGGACUCAGUGAUCUGCCUUAAGGGCAGUCAAUGGUCAGAUAUUGAAGAGUUCUGCAAUCGUAGCUGCGAGGUGCCAACAAGGCUAAAUUCUGCAUCCCUCAAACAGCCUUAUAUCACUCAGAAUUAUUUUCCAGUCGGUACUGUUGUGGAAUAUGAGUGCCGUCCAGGUUACAGAAGAGAACCUUCUCUAUCACCAAAACUAACUUGCCUUCAGAAUUUAAAAUGGUCCACAGCAGUCGAAUUUUGUAAAAAGAAAUCAUGCCCUAAUCCGGGAGAAAUACGAAAUGGUCAGAUUGAUGUACCAGGUGGCAUAUUAUUUGGUGCAACCAUCUCCUUCUCAUGUAACACAGGGUACAAAUUAUUUGGCUCGACUUCUAGUUUUUGUCUUAUUUCAGGCAGCUCUGUCCAGUGGAGUGACCCGUUGCCAGAGUGCAGAGAAAUUUAUUGUCCAGCACCACCACAAAUUGACAAUGGAAUAAUUCAAGGGGAACGUGACCAUUAUGGAUAUAGACAGUCUGUAACGUAUGCAUGUAAUAAAGGAUUCACCAUGAUUGGAGAGCACUCUAUUUAUUGUACUGUGAAUAAUGAUGAAGGAGAGUGGAGUGGCCCACCACCUGAAUGCAGAGGAAAAUCUCUAACUUCCAAGGUCCCACCAACAGUUCAGAAACCUACCACAGUAAAUGUUCCAACUACAGAAGUCUCACCAACUUCUCAGAAAACCACCACAAAAACCACCACACCAAAUGCUCAAGCAACACGGAGUACACCUGUUUCCAGGACAACCAAGCAUUUUCAUGAAACAACCCCAAAUAAAGGAAGUGGAACCACUUCAGGUACUACCCGUCUUCUAUCUGGUUCUCGUCCUGUCACCCAGGCUGGUAUGCGGUGGUGUGAUCGUAGCUCACUGCAGUCUCGAACUCCUGGGUUCAAGCGAUCCUUCCACUUCAGCCUCCCAAGUAGCUGGUACUACAGGUUUCUCUCCAUGGAAGAGGAGAAGACCAGAGGCAUCUAGUCAGACAUCUUGAAGCCACUCCCCAUGAUACUGUCUUAGGAAAACAAUCAACAUGUAGCAUUCAUGGAUACCAAAGGGAAAAUGGAGACGGUGUUUCACCGUGUUAUCCAGGAUGGUCUUGAUCUCCUGGCCUCGAGAUCUGCCUGCCUCGGCCUCCCAAAGUGCUGGGAUUACAGGCGUGAGCCACCGCACCUGGCCAGGUAAACACAUUUUUUUUCUUCCACCUUUUAUUUUAGGUUUGGGAGGUACAGGUGAAGGUUUGUUACAUGGGUAAAUUGUGUGUCAUUAGGGUUGAGUGUACAUAAUAUUUCAUCACCCAGGUAGUGAGCUUAGUACCCAAUAGGUAGUUUAUUGAUUCUCACCCUCCUCCCACCUUCCAUUCUCAAAUAAGCCCUGGUGGCCAUUGUUCCCUUCUUUGCAUCCAUGUGUACUCAUUGUUUAGUUCCCACUUAUAGGUGAGAAGAUGCAGUAUUUGGUUUUCUGUUCCUGCAUUAAUUCACUUAGGAUAAUGGUUUCCAGCUGCAUCCAUAUUACUGCAAAGGACAUGAUUUCAUUCCUUUCUAUGUUUGUGUAAUAUCCCGUGGUGUAUAUAUACCACAUUUUCUUUAUCCAGUUCACCACUGAUGUGCAUCUAGGUUGAUUCCAUGUUAUUGUGAAAAGUGCUGAUGAACAUAUGUGUGCAUAUGUCUUUAUGGUAGAAUGAUUUUUGUUGGUUUGGGUAUAUACCCAAUAAUGAGAUUGCUAGGUCACAUGGUGGUUCUAAGUUCUUUGAGAAAUCUCCAAACUGCUUUCCACAGAGGCUGAACUAAUUACAUUCCCACCAGCAAUGUAUAAGUGUUCUCUGUUUUCCACAACCUUACCAACAUUUGUUAUUUUUUCACUUUUUAAUAAUAGCCAUUCUGUCUGCUAUGAGAUGGUAUCUCAUUGUGGUUUUGAUUGCAUUUCUCUAAUGAUUAGUGAUGUUGAGCAUUUUUUUCAUAUGCUUGUUGGCCUCAUGUAUGUCUUCUUUUGAGAAGUGUCUGUUUAUGUCCUUUGCCCAUUUUUUAAGGGUUGGUUUGAUUUUUGUUUGUUGAUUUGUUUAAGUUCCUUAGAGAUUUUGAAUAUUAGAACUUUGUUAGAUGCAUAGUUUGCAAAUAUUUUCUCCUUUUCUGUAGGUUGUCUGUUUUCUCUGUUGAUAUAUAUUUUUUUGCCAUGCAGAAGCACUUUAGUUUAAUUAUGUCCCACUUGUCAAUUUUUGUUUUUGUUGCAAUUGCUUUUGGAGACCUCAUCAUGAAAUAUUUACCAACACCUAUGUCAGAAUGGUAUUUCCUAGGUUUUCUUCUAGAGUUUUUAUACUUUUAGGUUUUAAGUUUAAUUCUUUAAUCCAUAUUGAGUUGAUUUUUGUAUAUGGUGAAAGGUAGGGGUCCAUUUUCAAUCUUCUGCAUAUGGCUAGCCAGUUAUAGCAUUUAUUGAAUAGAGAAUCCAUUCCCCAUUGCUUGUUAUUGUCGACUUCAUUGAAGAUCAGAUGGUUGUAGGGGUGUGGCUUUAUAUCUGGGUUUUCUAACCUCUUCCAUUGGUCUAUGUGUCUAUUUUUGUACCAGUACCAUGCUGUUUUGGUUACUGUAGCCUUGUAAUAUAGUUUGAAAUCAGGUAGUGUGAUGCUUCCAGCUUUGUUCUUUUUACUUACGGUUGUUUUGGCUAUUUGGGUUCUUUUUUGAUUCCAUAUGAAUUUUAGAAUGUAUAUUUUUUAAUUCUCUGAAAGAUAUCAUUGGUAGUUUGAUAGGAAUAGCAUUGGAUCUAUAAAUUGCUUUAGGCAGUAUGGCCCUUUUUAAAAAUUUUGUAUUAAUUUUUUUUUUUUUUGAGACAGAGUCUCACUCUGUCACUCAGGCUGGAGUGCAGUGGCAUGAUCUUGGUUCACUGCAACCUCCGUCUCCUGGGUUCAAGUGAUUCUCUUGCCUCAGCCUCCCAAGUAGCUACGAUUACAGGUGCACACCACCACACCCAGCUAAUUUUUGUAUUUCUAGUAGAGAUGAGGUUUCACCAUGUUGGCCAAGCUAGUCUCAAACUCCUGACCUCAAGUGAUCCACCUGCCUCAGCCUUGCAAAGUGCUGGGAUUACAGGCAUGAGCCACCAUGCCCGCAGUAUGGCCCUUUUAAAAAUAUUUAUUCUUCCUAUGCAUGAGCAUGGAAUAUUUUUCCAUUUGUUUGUAUUGUCUCUGUCUUCUUUGUUUUGUAUUUCUCUAUAGAGAUCAUUCACCUCCCUGGUUAGCUGUAUUCAUAGGUAUUUUAUCCUUUUGUGGCUAUUGUGAAUAGGAUUGCAUUCUUGAUUUGGCUGUCAGCUUGACAUUGUUGGUGUAUAGAAAUGCUUCUGAUUUUUGUACCCCGAAGCUUUACUGAUGUUGUUUAACAGUUCUAAAAGCUUUUGGGCAGACUAUGGAGUAUUCUAGGUUUAAACUCAUAUCAUCUGUGAAGAGAGAUAGUUUACUUCCUCUCUUCCUAUAUGGAUGCCUUUUAUUUCCUUGCCUGAUUGCUGUGGCUAGGAUUUCCAGUACCAUGUUGAAUAGGAAUGAUAAUAAUGGACAUCCUUGUCUUGUACUGGUUUUCAAGGUGAAUGCUUCCAGCUUUUGCUCAUUCAGUAUGAUGUUGGCUGUGGGUUUUUCCUGGCGGCUCUUAUUAUUUUGUGGUAUGUUCCUUUGAUGCCUAGUUUGUUGAUGACUUUUAACAUGAAGGGAUGUUGAAUGUUGUCAAAAGCCUUUUCUACAACAAUUGAGAUGAUCAUGUGGUUUUUUUGUUUGUAGUUCUGUUUAUGUGAUGAAUCACAUUUAUUGAUUUGGAUAUGUUGAGCCAACCUUGCAUCCCAGGAAUAAAGCCUACUUGAUCGUGGUAAGUUAGGUAUUUGAUGUGCUGCUGGAUUUGAUCUGCUAGUAUUUUGUUGAGGAUUUUUGCAUUUACUUUCAUCAGGGAUGUUGGCCUGAAGUUUUCUUUUUUUGUCCUGUCUCUUUGCCAGAUUUUGGUAUCAGUGUGAUGCUGGCCUUAUAGAAUGAGGAGUCCCUCCUCCUUGAUUUUUGGCAUAGUUUCAGUAUGAUUGGUACCGGCUCUUGUUUGUAUGUUUGGUGGAAUUUGUCUGUGAAUCCAUCUGGUACAGGGCUCUUUCUGGUUGGUAGGUUUUUUAAAUUACUGAUUCAAUUUAAGAACUUGUUAUUGGUCUGUUCAGGUAUUUAAUUUCUUCCUGGUUCAAUCUUAGGAGGUUGUAUUUUUCCAAGAAUUUACCAUUUCUUCUACGUUUUCUAGUUUAUGUACAUAGAGGUGUUCAAAAUAGUCUCUGAGGGUGUUUUGUAUUUCUGUGGGGUUGGUGGUAAUGUCCCCUUUGUCAUCUGAGAUUGUGUUUAUUUGGAUGUUCUCUCUCUUUAUUAAUCUAGCUAGUUGUCUAUCAAUCUUAUUUAUUCUUUCAAAAAACCAGCUUUGGUUUUGUUGAUCUUUUGUAUGGAUUUUUGCAUCUCAAUUUUAUUCAGUUCAGCUCUGAUUUUGGUUAUUUUUUUUCUUCUGCUAGCUUUUGGGUUGGUUUGCUCUUGUUUUUUCUACAUCCUCUAGAGGUGAUGUUACUUUGUUAAUUUGAGAUUUUUCUAACAUUUUGAUGUAGGUGUUUAAUGCUACAAACUUUCCUCUUGACAUUGUUCUGGCUGUGUCCCAGACACUCUGGUAUGUUGUAUCUUUGUUUUCACUAGUUUCAAAGAAUUUCUUGAUUUCUGCCUUAAUUUUCAGAAUGCCAAAAGUCAUUCAGGAUUAGGUUGUUUAAUUUCCAUGUUAUUGUAUAGUUUUAAGAGAUCUUCCUGGUAUUGAUUUAUAUUUUAUGCUGUGGCCUAAGAGUAUGGUUAGUAUGAUUUUGGUUUUUUGAAUUUGUUUAAAAUUGCUUUAUGGUUGAGCAUGUGGUCAAUCUUAGAGUAUGUGCUAUGUGCAGAUGAGAAGAAUGUAUAUCCUGUUGUUCUUGGGUGUAAUGUUAUGUAGAUGUCUGUUAAGUCCAUUUGGUCAAGUGUCAAGUUUAGGUCAUGAAUAUCUUUGUUAGUUUUCUGCCUUGAUUAUGUGUCUAACAUUGUCAAUGGGGUGUUGAAGUCUCCCACUAUAUUGUGUGGUUAUUUCCAUCUCUUCAUAGGUCUUUAAGAACUUGUCUUAUGAAUCUGGAUGAUCCAGUGUUGGAUCUGAAAAGAGUAAUAAAAACAUUAUCAUUACUAUCA